rnacentral:rRNA from 1 species
AUGUCUCUCGGCAGGCCCAACCGCGGCAAUGCCGCCGCAGGCCGCGGUGGCGGCGGCGCGGCGCUGCCCGGCGCCCUCGGCCUCGGGAGCUUCCCGCGGCACGACCUCCCCGCCCCACCCGACGGGCUCGACCUCAACGCCGUCGUUGCGCCGCCGGUGAGCCAAGUUGCCCCAGCCCCAGAUCGCCCUUCCCAUGUCAGUGUACAAGAAUUCCGAGCUCGUGUCCGUACCUUGGAGAGUGCUUUUUCUGAUGCGGAUUGGUUUUUAAGGGAUAUUCAAGGUGAAAUACAACAGAUGAGGGAGGAGGGGCAUGAGAAAGACAGGCAAAUCCGAUCUCUCGUUGAAGAUGCAAUGAAGAAACGUCGGUCAAGCCACAUUAGAAUCAAGCAAUUCGACCAUGAUAAAGAGCUGAUGCGUCGAUUCUUUCAGGGAUGCAAAGAAAAACUUAAGAAGUCUUCUGAUGCAUUUCGGGAGUAUAAGAAGAUGUGUGAAGGAAGUGGCGUGUCAUCUUCGGGUGUUGUGGCUGAUGAGCAAAAUCGUAUUCUUAUGAUGCGGCAGGAGUACGCAGAGAACAUUAAUGCGCUUGAGAGAUAUCUGCAUUCGAGCUUUGCAGCAUGUGCUAAAGAGAUUACAAUGCUGGCAACAAGGAUUGCAUACCUCAACAAUGAACGUCAAAGGCUGAAUGAUUAUAUACAAAUUCCAGAUCUUAACAAUGGGGGUCCUCAACUGUGA